rnacentral:SRP_RNA from 1 species
GCCGGGCGCGGUGGUGCGUGCCUGUAGUCCCAGCUAUUCAGGAGGCUGAGGCUGGAGGAUCGCUUGAGCCCAGGAGUUCUGGGCUGUAGUGCGCUAUGUCGAUCGGGUGUCCACACUAAGUUCAGCAUAAUUAUGGUGACCUCCCGGGAGCGGGGGACCACCAGGUUGCCUAAGGAGGGAUGAACCGGCCCAGGUCAGAAACGGAGCAGGUCAAAAACUCCCAUGCUGAUCAGUAGUGGGAUCACGCCUGUGAAUAGCCACUGCACUCCAGCCUGAGCAACAUAGUGAGACCCUGUCUCU